rnacentral:rRNA from 1 species
AGUGAACGCUGGCGGUAGGCCUAACACAUGCGAGUCGAACGGCAGCACAGUAAGAGCUUGCUCUUACGGGUGGCGAGUGGCGGACGGGUGAGGAAUACAUCGGAAUCUACUUUUUCGUGGGGGAUAACGUAGGGAAACUUACGCUAAUACCGCAUACGACCUACGGGUGAAAGCAGGGGAUCUUCGGACCUUGCGCGAUUGAAUGAGCCGAUGUCGGAUUAGCUAGUUGGCGGGGUAAAGGCCCACCAAGGCGACGAUCCGUAGCUAGUCUGAGAGGAUGAUCAGCCACACUGGAACUGAGACACGGUCCAGACUCCUACGGGAGGCAGCAGUGGGGAAUAUUGGACACUGGGCGCAAGCCUGAUCCAGCCAUACCGCGUGGGUGAAGAAGGCCUUCGGGUUGUAAAGCCCUUUUGUUGGGAAAGAAAAGCAGCAGGUUAAUACCCCGCUGUUCUGACGGUACCCAAAGAAUAAGCACCGGCUAACUUCGUG